CGCGUAGGCGGCUCUGUUUGUCGCGUGUGAGAGCCCCGGGCUCAACCUGGGAGGUGCGCGCGAGACGGCGGGGCUGGAGUUCGGGAGAGGAGCGUGGAAUUCCCAGUGUAGAGGUGAAAUUCGUAGAUAUUGGGAAGAACACCGGUGGCGAAGGCGGCGCUCUGGACCGAGACUGACGCUGAGGCGCGAAAGCGUGGGGAGCAAACAGGAUUAGAUACCCUGGUAGUCCACGCUGUAAACGAUGUGUGCUAGACGUUGGGAGGCCUAGCCUCUCGGUGUCGCAGCCAACGCGGUAAGCACACCGCCUGGGGAGUACGGCCGCAAGGUUAAA
rnacentral:rRNA from 1 species